rnacentral:rRNA from 1 species
GAGCGAAAGCGUGGGGAGCGAACAGGCUUAGAUACCCUGGUAGUCCACGCUGUAAACGGUGGGUACUAGGUGUGGGGGCCAUUCCACGGGUUCCGUGCCGUAGCUAACGCUUUAAGUACCCCGCCUGGGGAGUACGGCCGCAAGGCUAAAACUCAAAGGAAUUGACGGGGCCCCGCACAAACGGCGGAGCAUGCGGAUUAAUUCGAUGCAACGCGUAGAACCUUACCUGGGUUUGACAUGGAUCGGGAGUGCUCAGAGAUGGGUGUGCCUCUUUUGGGGUCGGUUCACAGGUGGUGCAUGGCUGUCGUCAGCUCGUGUCGUGAGAUGUUGGGUUAAGUCCCGCAACGAGCGCAACCCUUGUUCACUGUUGCCAGCACGUUAUGGUGGGGACUCAGUGGAGACCGCCGGGGUCAACUCGGAGGAAGGUGGGGAUGACGUCAAGUCAUCAUGCCCCUUAUGUCCAGGGCUUCACGCAUGCUACAAUGGCUGGUACAGAGAGUGGCGAGCCUGUAAGGGUGAGCGAAUCUCGGAAAGCCGGUCUCAGUUCGGAUUGGGGUCUGCAACUCGACCUCAUGAAGUCGGAGUCGCUAGUAAUCGCAGAUCAGCAACGCUGCGGUGAAUGCGUUCCCGGGCCUUGUACACACCGCCC